CUUUUUGAGAAUGUGAUGUCUUUCCACCGGACCAAGGCCACUCUUAUCGGUCUGCUAGAAGCAGGGAGAGCUAAUGAAUGGGUUGUCACUGAAAAACUAGGCGAUACUCUCAAGAACAAGGCCAACACCAAAGCAGCAGCCAAGAGACCUCGAUUCAAGAUCGGAGACAGGUAAAAACUUCCUUAAUAUCAUAUCAUAUCAUAUCAUCCUUCAAUGGUUGAGUUAAAACAUCUUUUGUCACACGUAUAAUCAAAUUUUGUUUGCAUGUACAGACUAUACUCAAAGUCAAUGUUUUCACAAAGUGGACAAAUGGACAAAUAAAUGGCAUAUCUUAGGGAAUAUGCAUUUGGCAGUAUUGCAACCAAAACCACACCUAAAGUAAUAAGACUAUCAUUGUGUGGUGGUUGACAAUUUGAUAUCUGCAGAGAGAGAAGUAGAGAUUUUACUUCCAUCUAAUUUUUCUUUGUGGUUUCAGUGGCAAAGAGAGAAAGAAUAGUCCAACCCACCCCUGAUUCCCCUUUUUUAUUAUCCUCUGAGCACAUAUGUUAGAAGAUUUAGGUUUAUCUGAGAAUUUUAUAACCAUUGAAAUAUUUGGCGGUCAUCAUCAUCAACAACUCUAACAUCUGCUCAGAAUUUAUUUUAUUGUAUUUUUACAUGAACUUGAAUCUCAUUGUUUGUGUGGUUUACUGUGAACAGAAUCAAUACCAUGGAGCUGGGAUUUUCUGCUUUCCUCUUCUUCUGCGCAUGCUAUGAUUUUCUGUAUGGGAAGUACUACUUCUAUGUGUACCUUUUCCUCCAAACCAUUACCUACUUCAUCGUUGGAAUUGGGUACGUGGGGACCAUUGUCCCUAGCUAGUGGAGGUGGCAUCCCUCAGUCAGACCACCCCACAUGGACAUGGAUUGGCACAAAUCCACCUUAGUAUUCGUCUUACUGCAUCUCUAUUUCUCUUCAACAAUACAUAUGUGGGCUUCUGCUAGCAACAGUUGAUUGCAAAUUACUACUAUCUUAGCUCUUAAAAACAAAAAUAGGUCA
rnacentral:lncRNA from 1 species